rnacentral:misc_RNA from 1 species
AAGUCGUAACAAGGUUUCCGUAGGUGAACCUGCGGAAGGAUCAUUAUUGAAGCUCGGAAUGCGUGUUCGGUGCUGAUGCUGCCCAGCGAUGGGAUGUGCUCGCUCGGAUGUGUGUCCCUUCUCUAUUCCACCCCUUUGUGAACCAAGUGUGCGAGCCGAUGAGAGAUCGGAAGCUCGCAUGCAAACCCUUAACAUACCCCAAUGAAGUAUCAGAAUGUAACUUGCGUUAACUCGCACAAAUACAACUUUCAACAACGGAUCUCUUGGCUCUC